CUUUCUCGCUGAAACACAACUAAUGCUUUAUUCAGAGGUAAUAUUUCAUAUCAUACAUGUAAAAGUGUUUUGCAAACUAAAAGGCUAUAGAAAUGUCAACUAUUAACAUUAUUAUUUGAUUUCUCUUUCUAAUGACUAAAAACCAGAAAUUAUUUUUAGAUUUCUAGAUUCAUUCGUUAAGGCCUAAUGUAUGCAGAAUACAAGAUUUAUUGUUGCCAUCAUCAGAAUGAAAAAAAGGGUAGCCAUUUCGAAGUUUGCUUCUGUGGAAACCAUAAUCGUGAUGCAUGUAAGGCAAUUGGCUGUUGAAAUUCAAUUCUUGUCACCUGAGAUAAAAUACGCUACAGAUUUGCUCCUAAAACUAUGCAUUCUAAAAUUGAAAGAUUUCCUAGGCUAUGGAGUAAGGAAGUCUUUAGAAAUUUGUAAACCUAAAAAUCACAAUGAAUAUUCCUCAAAAUCUGUAUGGAAGAAAGUAAGGGUAGAUGAGAAGGAUGAAAGGGAGAAAGACGGCAUGAAGGGAGAGUGGGAGGAGAAAGAGUGGAUGACUGGCUAGAUAGGUGCAUGGAUAGAUGGAUGUAUAGAUACAGGGAAUUUACAGUUCACUCUAACAACUGCUUUCCUAGGCAGUAGCCAGAGUUCAAGGCUGUGAAGGAGAAAUCGGGUGAGGAUUCUUCUACAGUCCCUCAGCCUCCAAGAGUAUAACAGGAAAUCCUUCCUGUGAACUGAAAUUCUGGAUUCCUCACCCCCAUCUCAGUAAAUAAGAGAUCUUUAUUACUGAAGGACCCUCAUCAGAUACAGGAUGUCAAGAACCAAGUCAGUGUUUGAAUCUGCCCAUCACCAACUCCACAUUUUUGGCAAUAGAAAAGACUCCCAUUCUGUUUUUGACUCCCUUUACCUCCCUGGACCCUUACACCAAAGGCCUCCAGGCAACUCUGAAUCCCAGAGCCUUUGGCAGUGAUGCAUUGUAUACAUUUCAAAAGGACUUGAUUUCAUACAUUCAGGUAAUGGUAACAUGAUGAAUAUUUCACUGUAGAAACUGGAACUGACAAAUUCUUAAAUAUAUGAAAGGUAUUUUCAAUGUUCUUACAGAUGUCUUUUAAACUAGCUACUUAAAUUUUUAUCUUAAAUCAUUUAACAUAAAUGAGCAAAAUAUCUUAUGUUGGGUGAAGUCUUAGCAUGUUAUUACCUUUACUUUUUGAUAAAAUAUCAUAUUACCUAAAAGGAUAAACAUAUUAAAAUUACUUUUUAUUCCCUGAUAUAAAGCUGUAUCAGUAAACACAUAUUUAGAUAUUUCAGUAUAUUUGAAAAGAUUGCAUUAUUUAAUAUUUAAGAGAAAGUAUAUGAUAAAAAAUUAGAAAAAAAUUACCUAAAACUACCUACAAGUGGCCCUUAAAAGGGCAGGAAAUUUUUAUUGAUAAAUGAAGUGGAUUUUUCAAAAUGUGCUGUGUUAAGAAUGACAUGGGUUUUGCCCUUAAAAGGGCAUUUUUUACUUAACUAUGAUUAUUUUCAUUUUAGGCAUUAAAAUUUAUGCUGUUUUGCCUUUGAAAGA